UCACUAACAUGUCUUAUCUACUGGCUUACAAAUCAAGUGGGUGAGAUCUGUUAAUGAGA
rnacentral:pre_miRNA from 1 species